AGAAACCAUUUAAAAUGUUAUUGAUGAGACAGAGCCUUGAAAAGCAGCCUCAAGCUACUGCGUGGUCCUCUUGUUGGCCAAAAGAUGAUGUCCAGCCCAGCACCAAUUUCAGAGACAUAAAUAAGAGCAUGGUUUCUAGGUCAAGGAGCUACUUGGAACUUAGUGAUGAAAUCAAGUUCUGUGCAAAUAUUCCUGAGAGUGUAAUGGAGAGAUCAGCUCCAGCCAGAGCGCACAGGCAAGUCCUCUCCAUUCCUUUCCAUUCUAAUUCCUCUCAGGAUGGGCUUGGUCUGGUGUACUCCUCUAAUAAUGAUCUCAUGUAUCAGGAAGUAUGGUGAGGGCAGCUGGUGGACAGAUACUCUGCUCUCCAGGGAGAAUUCAGAAGAGGCUGUUGGAUCCCAUGGAACUGCAGUUAUAGAUAGUAGUGAGUAGCUACAUAGGUACUGGUAAGUGAACCUGGGUCUUCUAGAUGAGUAUCAAGUGUUGUUAACCACUGAUCCAUCUCUCUAGCCCUGAGUGCUCUGGUUUGAAUGUGUCCUGUAGUUACUGAUUUCAUUGGGGCAUUUGGGAGUGGGGCCUCUGAUUAGGGUUUUUAUCUGUCUGGGGGAGUCUUGUAACAUAGGUGCUUUCUGUUUUUCUUUAUAAUUAAUUGCCUGGGGAUGUUACUGAGGCACUCAGUGAUACCAGAGGGGUGUGUCCCCUGCUCUUCACUCUGACCAGAUAUGUGAGAGAGGGUGAAGGGAUCUUUCUGGAAGAUGAAGUUUCUAUUGUGUUUUCCCUGGACGUGAGAUAUUUUCACCAGUAUCUACUGUACGAGACAAGAACAUGCAAGGCUGUGAAAAUGUGGAAGGGACUCACUGAGCAGAGGAUGCAGAUUGGUUUGAAGUUUGCAAAGAGGAACUCAGAGGGAGACAAACAACUCACCACAGGGCUCUGGGUGAAGUCACCUGACUGUUUCAGAAACUGUUCCCAUUAUGACACCUGUCAGAAUGUCCCACUGCCCGAGAGCUAGGCAGGUGCUGUGGGGCCCACUGACCUACUGACCUACUGACCUACUGACCCACCAGAUUGUAUACACUGCAGCCUAGUCCUCCCUUGCCUAUUGAGACCACCUUUGAACUGAAGUCUCCAAUGAGGUUCACAUUCCAUGAAGAGAGCACAGAGCCUGUUUAUGAUGGUUCGAAUAUACUUGGACCAGGAAGUGGCACUAUUAGGAAGUGUGGCCUUGUUGGAGGAA